GGGAAGGGGCAGUUAAAGGGACUAAGCCCUCAAGGCAGGAAUAGGAAGACAAGGUACCCAGGGACGACUGAGCGGAUAACUGUGUAAGGGGGAAGAAUUAAAGGAUACAUGAUGUAGCGAGCAUGGCCUUGGCGAAAUCCAAGCACUCUCACUUACUCACUGCAUGACCCUGGACAUGUUCCUCAACCGCCCAGGCUACUCUUUGGUAGACGGAAGAACGCUCUACAAGGCACUAAUAACUUCAGACUUCAGCUUUUCUCCAAAGAGUGCCCAACAUCUUGGAUGAAGACUGUUUACUAGUUCCCUUACCAGCCCCUGAGCACUCUGUCAGUACCCCAGCUUCUAGGAAGGAUCACAAGAGUGACAUUCGUGUCUUCUGAACGCGUGGAAAGGACAGUGGGAUGAUUUCAACAGGCCGAAGCACGGCAAUGGUAAAGAAAUUGAGAAAACAGAAUUUGGCAUUCCAGGAGAGCCCAGGUGAGACUCAACUAAAGAAGAGGAAAUAGAAGCUGCUCUGACAUAAAAGAGCACUGACUACGGGAAGCAAUAAAGCACCCAGACCUGGGGAGUUUUAAAUCUCUUUAAAUAAACUUACAUACUAUCCC